rnacentral:lncRNA from 1 species
UUUCUCUUUGCUUCUGGCUGUACAGGCUACUGCCUCGCCGGCUGGCUAGGUCACUCUGUUUACUGAAUACUUAAAUUGGAGUGUGAAGUUUUUAUAACCAGGAAGAAAAUGUUCCCACCAAAUGGUGUUAUAAAGAACACAGCCUGAAGGCCAGAAGUCAUGCCAGUUUCCUUAAAAACUACAAUCUUGUUUUGAUCCCAAAUGUCUUAUAGCCUGUGGACCUGCCCAGAAGGACAUGCUCUAUAGUAAUAGAACCAAAUGUGGCCAGUGUCCAAGCCUAAGAAGUAUGUCUUUCAAGCAUCAGAGUAGCUCCUGCCUCCAUAUUACAUGCCCUAUUUGAGGUCUUCUACUGACUUCUUUAGAAGAUGAACAGUUAUAUAAAAGGUGCAGUUUUAAAGGCAUUCAAAGAUCACUGAAAGCAGUUGAGGCAUCGUACCAGAAAGAGAGACCAGAAGACCCUACUGGUGAAAGUACAGUCCAAUUAAAGCAGAAGACUCCAAGACUUUGGAGAUUCCAGUGCCAUGGGACAAUCUCCAGGAAGAGCAACUAUGGAAUAGAGCCUAUGAGACAAGCUAUGUCCUUAGUGGCAAACAUUUUGGGGGUACACAGAAGACCAUGAAUGAUUUCUGGUUUUUGAAUACUGAGCUCAUUACAGUUUGAAUUUUGUUUUGCUUUGAGUCACUGUGCCCUGAUUGUUCCCUUUUGAAAUAAGAAAUUAUUUUUUUGUUAUUUUACUGUAGGCUACAGUUCGGAGAUUUGAACUUUUAUAAGAGAUUUUGAAGCUUUGUAAAGACUUUGGAUUAUUAAAGAGAAUGAACUUUUAAAAUGGUUUAAAUUUUAAAGAUCUUGAAACUUUGAAGUUUCUAAUGGUUCAUAUUGGAACAUAAAUAUUGAUAUGGAAUUUUAUAGACAACAG